UAGUAUUAAAGUUCUUUUAGAAUUUGUCUAGCAGGUUUUCUGGUCCUCACCAGAAGACACCCCC